rnacentral:rRNA from 1 species
UACAGAGGGUGCGAGCGUUGUUCGGAAUUAUUGGGCGUAAAGAGCUCGUAGGCGGUUUGUCGCGUCUGCUGUGAAAACCCGAGGCUCAACCUCGGGCCUGCAGUGGGUACGGGCAGACUAGAGUGCGGUAGGGGAGAUUGGAAUUCCUGGUGUAGCGGUGGAAUGCGCAGAUAUCAGGAGGAACACCAACGGCGAAGGCAGCUCGCUGGGACGGAACUGACGCUAAGGCGCGAAAGCGUGGGGAGCGAACAGG